UACGGAGGGUGCAAGCGUUAUCCGGAUUCACUGGGUUUAAAGGGUGCGUAGGCGGAAAGGGAAGUCCGUGGUGAAAUCCUGCAGCUUAACUGCAGAACUGCCGUGGAUACUCUCUAUCUUGAAUAUCGUGGAGGUUAGCGGAAUAUGUCAUGUAGCGGUGAAAUGCGUGGAUAUCGAGAAGAACACUUAGGGCGUAGGCAAGACUCUGGACAAAUGCUGACGCUCAUGCACGAAGGCUAGGGUAGCGAACGGG
rnacentral:rRNA from 1 species